UAAAUUCUCAACCUUCCAGCUUUUUAUAAGCUUGGUUAGGCUUGGAUGUGGGGGUUGUGGACUUCAUUAAUGAGGUCAGCUCUCCUUAAAUGCAUUAGCGGAACUUUUGUGGACCGUCUAUUGGUGUGAUAAUUAUCUACGCCGUGGAUGUGAAGCAGAUUUAUGGAGUUCAGCUUCUAACCGUCCAUUGACUUGGACAUUUUUGACAAUUUGACCUCAAAUCAGGUAGGACUACCCGCUGAACUUAAGCAUAUCAAUAAGCGGAGGAAAAGAAACUAACAAGGAUUCCCCUAGUAACUGCGAGUGAAGCGGGAAAAGCUCAAAUUUAAAAUUCUGGCAGUCUUUGGCUGUGCGCGAA
rnacentral:rRNA from 1 species